rnacentral:tRNA from 2 species
GGAGAGAUGGCUGAGCUGGUCGAAGGCGCACGAUUGGAAAUCGUGUAGACCCUUAAAAGGUCUCAAGGGUUCGAAUCCCUUUCUCUCCGCCA